UGGUGGAGAGAGAGAGAGAGAGAGAGAGAGUGAGAUAGAAAGAGAGGGAGAGAGAGGGAGGCAUGUUGUACAUUAACAAACAGAGUAGGUUUUAAAGCACAGUUGCUUUAAGACAGCAGCUUAGGGGCACAGCCUUAGGGUUCUCCUGGUUCUGAUUCUGCUAACUAAUAUAUAAAUGGACUUACCUUGGAGUAUUGGAAAAGCAGUAAACUUAGAAGAAGGAAGGCACAGUUCCUGACAUGGCCACUCAUCCUCUCUGAAUCUCAUGCAAGUAUAUCAACCUUCUCCUUACUGAGCCUUCAUUCCUACUCCCAGAGAAGUCCAACAGCUCAUACAUGACCCAGAAGAAGAUCUGGUCCUUCAAGAAGCAAGAAAGAAGACAAACAGAUGAAUGACAAAGACAACCAGG